rnacentral:lncRNA from 1 species
AAAAGCGCAGAGACAGAUGCUGCGUCGAGGCAAGAAGAAAAGAAAACAAAUGAAUUUCGAGGGCAAAAUCGACAGAUAUAUAACGCGGUUGAAAACACACAA